rnacentral:rRNA from 1 species
AUUGAACGCUGGCGGCAGGCCUAACACAUGCAAGUCGAACGAGUGGCGGACGGGUGAGUAAUGUCUGGGAAACUGCCUGACGGAGGGGGAUAACUACUGGAAACGGUAGCUAAUACCGCAUACCAUCGGAUGUGCCCAGAUGGGAUUAGCUCGUAGGUGGGGUAAAGGCUCACCUGGGCGACGAUCCCUAGCUGGUCUGUGAGGAUGACCAGCAACACUGGAACUGAGACACGGUCCAGACUCCUACGGGAGGCAGCAGUGGGGAAUCUUGCACAAUGGGCGCAAGCCUGAUGCAGCAAUGCCGCGUGUGUGAAGAAGGCCUUCGGGUUGUAAAGCACUUUCAGCGGGGAGGCGUUACCCGCAGAAGAAGCACCGGCUAACUCCGUGCCAGCAGCCGCGGUAAUUC